rnacentral:rRNA from 1 species
UACGUAGGGGGCAAGCGUUGUUCGGAUUUAUUGGGCGUAAAGAGCUCGUAGGCGGUUUGUCGCGUCUGCCGUGAAAGUCCGGGGCUCAACUCCGGAUCUGCGGUGGGUACGGGCAGACUAGAGUGAUGUAGGGGAGACUGGAAUUCCUGGUGUAGCGGUGAAAUGCGCAGAUAUCCGGAGGAACACCGGUGGCGAAGGCGGCUUCCUGGACCGACACUGACGCUGAGGCGCGAAAGCUAGGGGGAGCAAACGGG